rnacentral:rRNA from 1 species
CAAUAGCGUAUAUUAAAGUUGUUGCGGUAAAAAAGCUCGUAGUUGGAUUUCUACCGAAGAUAGCCGGUCGGGUCUUCGAUCUUGUAUCUGGUUUUGUCUUUGGUAUCCUCAUAGGGAACGUUUCUGCGCUUUAUUGCGUGGUGCGGUAUCUAUGACUUUUACUUUGAGGAAAUUAGAGUGUUCACGGCAGGCAAACGCCUUGAAUAUAUUAGCAUGGAAUAAUAACAUAGGAUCUUCGUCCUAUUUUGUUGGUUUCUAGGGCUAAGAUAAUGAUUAAUAGGGAUAAUUGGGGGCAUCUGUAUCAACGCGUCAGAGGUGGAAUUCUUGGAUUGCGUUGCGACAAACUACUGCGAAAGCAUUUGCCAAGGAUGUUUUCAUUGA